GUUCGGAGGCGCUUUAGAGAGUCGCGGCAUUCACUCCGGCGCAGGAAGAGAGGCGCUGCACCAAAGAGACACAAUAGGCCCUUCUAAAGCAUCAUCUGAGGGGCAAAGUUAUUAUUCUUCCCUUCUCUUCUCUGCAGAACGACGAUCAAAGAGAAACUCGUUCUUGCUGUGGGUGACACCAUCUCGCUCUCGGUCCCAUAUUCUGGGAAGACCCAAGGAUGCCUUUAUCUUGGGUCACAGCUGUGCUGACGCUGUCUGUUCUAAGACAGAGCAAUGGAGACUCAGUCACCCAAACCAAAGGCAGCGUCCUGAUCUCCCGAGGAGAAUCUGUGGUUGUUAACUGCACCUAUGAGGCUGUUUCUCCCUCUCUCUUCUGGUACGUGCAGUUCCCCAGCCAGCCCCCCCGGCUCCUCCUGAGGGACCUGGGAAGGGAGGACUCGGAUGAAGGGAUCAGAAAAGGGUUCGAUGCCACCCACGAUAAAAAGCACAAAUCCUUCCACCUGUGGAAACCGUCCAGCGAACUGAGCGACUCCGCGACCUAUUACUGCGCCGUGAGAGACACAGUGACACGGAUCGGCAGGGGAGCUCAGCAAAAAAAACCCGGGGGCUGUGGCAGGAAUCGCUGGUUCCUGGGAGCGACUCGGGGAUGAAGGGUAGGAAUUCUGCAAGGCCUGGACCU